rnacentral:rRNA from 1 species
UAAGGAAUAUUGGUCAAUGGACGCAAGUCUGAACCAGCCAUGCCGCGUGGAGGAUGAAGGCCCUCUGGGUUGUAAACUUCUUUUAUCUGGGAAGAAACCGGACUUUUCUAAGGCCGUUGACGGUACCAGAUGAAUAAGCACCGGCUAACUCCGUGCCAGCAGCCGCGGUAAUACGGAGGGUGCAAGCGUUAUCCGGAUUCACUGGGUUUAAAGGGUGCGUAGGUGGGCAGGUAAGUCAGUGGUGAAAUCUCUGAGCUUAACUCAGAAACUGCCGUUGAUACUAUCUGUCUUGAAUAUAGUGGAGGUGAGCGGAAUAUGUCAUGUAGCGGUGAAAUGCUUAGAUAUGACAUAGAACACCCAUUGCGAAGGCAGCUCGCUACACUAUCAUUGACACUGAGGCACGAAAGCGUGGGGAUCAAACA